UAUGAUUACAAACAAAUAAAAAAUUUGUAACUUAUCGUUUUAUUCAUGAAUUUUUUUUUAAUAUAAAAAGGGUCCAUUUCCGAAAUUCGCCUUAGGCCCCGACGAACUCAGGGCCGGCCCUCUCUCAAGAACAUGGGUCUGAAGUUCACUACGCGUGCCCCUACCAGCCAUCCCACAAAAAGGGCUAAAAACACACUGCCCACAACUCACAAGCCCAAUAUACACACUGCCCAUAAAUAACGUGGGCCAAACACAUGAACCAAAAACCAACGUGGGCCAAGAAUUGGCCUUUCCCACUACCAGCAACUAUAAUCAACAUUGCAACAAAUGAUCAAGUCACAUGGAUCAUUACACUCGAAAGAAAAUUUGUAAAUAUAUCACCACCAGCAAGGGUGAUCAAUACUGUGCCCAGACCCCCAACAGUAAGCCACUUUUGGGUAGAGAAACCAAGCAAUUCCACAAACAACGAAACAGCGGCAACCCAUACUGCCGUAUAAACAGCUUUCCCAGCAAAUUGGAAGCCCAUAGUUCUUGCAUCAUUACAGUCAUUUGACUCCAUAAAGAAUUUUUGUGUUUGUCGAAUCAACCUUGAUAAACAGUAUGCGAAGGCCAGAACUGUAGAUUAUUGGAUCUAACACCCUGCAGGUACUGAUGAUAUGCCUCCAUCAAGGACAUAGUAUGGGAAGACUUGGAGCCAAAGGUUUCGUUUUGUUAUUUGAUGUAAUUAUUUUUGUAUAAGCAUUGGACUUUAAUUGUAUUGAGUUAAACUCAUUUUGAUGUAUCCAAGCAUUGACUUUGAAAGACGUAGCCAUUAGGGCAUAUAAUUACUCGAUUUUGCUUUUCUUUUAAUUCA